rfam:Pseudomonas syringae strain GAW0119 contig14.1, whole genome shotgun sequence.
GGUGGCCGGGAGGCCGCGACAGUCGAUCAUCGUAUGCUGCCGCCGUUGACCCCAGCCACU